UACGAAGGGGGCUAGCGUUGCUCGGAAUCACUGGGCGUAAAGCGCACGUAGGCGGCUUUUUAAGUCAGAGGUGAAAUCCUGGAGCUCAACUCCAGAACUGCCUUUGAUACUGAAGAUCUUGAGUCCGGGAGAGGUGAGUGGAACUGCGAGUGUAGAGGUGAAAUUCGUAGAUAUUCGCAAGAACACCAGUGGCGAAGGCGGCUCACUGGCCCGGUACUGACGCUGAGGUGCGAAAGCGUGGGGAGCAAACAGG
rnacentral:rRNA from 1 species